rnacentral:lncRNA from 1 species
CUACUCUGGAAAGAGGAAAAGUCCCAGGACUGAGGAGCAGAAGCAGAAAGCCUGGAUAGUUGCCAGUUUGGGCGGGGAAGGAAGUGGCAGAAGGGGGAGCAAGGCCAGAGGGGAGCCUGGAAAGACCAGGAAUGACUUGCAUUCUUGUGAUCACGAAGAUUCAGAGCACGCUCGGCAGUCGUUGGGAUCUGCUGCUUCUCUGCACAUCAGCACCAGCAUCGAGUGGUCAGGAUUCUCUGCACACCCACGUUCAAGAUGUGUUACAAAGAGCAUUUGUGCCCAGCCUCCUAAUAGAAGCGGAGGGCUGUAAUUUUGUCUCCCCAGCUCACCGCCCCCAGCAUCUCAACCACCUGUCCUCACUUUCCGAGAAUCAGCCUCCCCAUCUGUGAAUCUAGUUACAUCACGGCCGCCAGGCUCCUUGGUGAUGCUGUGUCCUCUGUGCCACUUCGUGGUCUAAAGAUGGAGCCCCAAGGAGCCAAGAAAGUCAAGGGCAUCCCUGUGAAUUUGGCAACAGAACAAAGAGAUGUAAGUUUAUACUCUUUCUUUCUGGGAGCAGCAGAUAACAGCCCCUUCCUGCUCUGGGGACUGGGAACAGAGCGAGAUAAGAGAUAAGCCCUGAAAUCAACACCCAGAGUGGGGCCUAGGUGAGGUGGGAGGGGCCUGACAGACUUGGAGACCUCCCCCAGGUCCACAUGGCCUUUCUGAGUUUCCCUGUGACUGGCCCACAUCCUAAAACUAAAUUCGCCUUGUUUACCAAAGCUGGUCAGUUCUGUCAUCUGAAAGUCAGUACAAUAGUUAAUAUCUUUACAUUGUCUUUAAUAACUCGUCAUUUCCUUUUCUGAAAAGAAGCACAUACCCUUGGGCUUCCCAGGGGGCGCUAGUGGUGAAGAACCCACCUGCCAAUGCAGGAGACACAGAAGACAGGGGUUUGAUCCCUGGAUCGGGAAGAUCCCCUGGAGGAGGGCGUGGCAACACUCUCCAGUAUUCUUGCCUGGAGAAUCCCACAGACAGAGGAGCCUGGC